rnacentral:tRNA from 1 species
GGGCGAGUGGCGGAACGGUAGACGCGCUACGUUCAGGUCGUAGUGAGAGCAAUCUCAUGGAGGUUCGAUUCCUCUCUCGCCCA